GUCGAACGAACUCUGGUAUUGAUUGGUGCUUGCAUCAUGAUUUACAUUUGAGUGAGUGGCGAACUGGUGAGUAACACGUGGGAAACCUGCCCAGAAGCGGGGGAUAACACCUGGAAACAGAUGCUAAUACCGCAUAACAACUUGGACCGCAUGGUCCGAGUUUGAAAGAUGGCUUCGGCUAUCACUUUUGGAUGGUCCCGCGGCGUAUUAGCUAGAUGGUGAGGUAACGGCUCACCAUGGCAAUGAUACGUAGCCGACCUGAGAGGGUAAUCGGCCACAUUGGGACUGAGACACGGCCCAAACUCCUACGGGAGGCAGCAGUAGGGAAUCUUCCACAAUGGACGAAAGUCUGAUGGAGCAACGCCGCGUGAGUGAAGAAGGGUUUCGGCUCGUAAAACUCUGUUGUUAAAGAAGAACAUAUCUGAGAGUAACUGUUCAGGUAUUGACGGUAUUUAACCAGAAAGCCACGGCUAACUACGUGCCAGCAGCCGCGGUAAUACGUAGGUGGCAAGCGUUGUCCGGAUUUAUUGGGCGUAAAGCGAGCGCAGGCGGUUUUUUAAGUCUGAUGUGAAAGCCUUCGGCUCAACCGAAGAAGUGCAUCGGAAACUGGGAAACUUGAGUGCAGAAGAGGACAGUGGAACUCCAUGUGUAGCGGUGAAAUGCGUAGAUAUAUGGAAGAACACCAGUGGCGAAGGCGGCUGUCUGGUCUGUAACUGACGCUGAGGCUCGAAAGUAUGGGUAGCAAACAGGAUUAGAUACCCUGGUAGUCCAUACCGUAAACGAUGAAUGCUAAGUGUUGGAGGGUUUCCGCCCUUCAGUGCUGCAGCUAACGCAUUAAGCAUUCCGCCUGGGGAGUACGGCCGCAAGGCUGAAACUCAAAGGAAUUGACGGGGGCCCGCACAAGCGGUGGAGCAUGUGGUUUAAUUCGAAGCUACGCGAAGAACCUUACCAGGUCUUGACAUACUAUGCAAAUCUAAGAGAUUAGACGUUCCCUUCGGGGACAUGGAUACAGGUGGUGCAUGGUUGUCGUCAGCUCGUGUCGUGAGAUGUUGGGUUAAGUCCCGCAACGAGCGCAACCCUUAUUAUCAGUUGCCAGCAUUAAGUUGGGCACUCUGGUGAGACUGCCGGUGACAAACCGGAGGAAGGUGGGGAUGACGUCAAAUCAUCAUGCCCCUUAUGACCUGGGCUACACACGUGCUACAAUGGAUGGUACAACGAGUUGCGAACUCGCGAGAGUAAGCUAAUCUCUUAAAGCCAUUCUCAGUUCGGAUUGUAGGCUGCAACUCGCCUACAUGAAGUCGGAAUCGCUAGUAAUCGCGGAUCAGCAUGCCGCGGUGAAUACGUUCCCGGGCCUUGUACACACCGCCCGUCACACCAUGAGAGUUUGUAACACCCAAAGUCGGUGGGGUAACCUUUUAGGAACCAGCCGCCUAAG
rnacentral:rRNA from 2 species